UCCAGGGUAGCCUAGUGAAAAUGACAGCCCGAUAGGCGGAACACUGUGGGUUCGAUUCCCAUCCUUGGAC